AGCUUUGCACAGUGGCAGUAUUGUAGCCAAUGAGGUUUAUCCGAGGCGCGAUUAUUGCUAAUUGAAUACUAUGACCUUGUAGUAUAGUUUGAUAUUAGGUAGUGUGAUUCCUUCAACUUUGUUCUUCUUUCUCAGGA